CCUAACACAUGCAAGUCGAGCGGAAACGAGUUAACUGAACCUUCGGGGAACGUUAACGGCGUCGAGCGGCGGACGGGUGAGUAAUGCCUGGGAAAUUGCCCUGAUGUGGGGGAUAACCAUUGGAAACGAUGGCUAAUACCGCAUAAUAGCUUCGGCUCAAAGAGGGGGACCUUCGGGCCUCUCGCGUCAGGAUAUGCCCAGGUGGGAUUAGCUAGUUGGUGAGGUAAUGGCUCACCAAGGCGACGAUCCCUAGCUGGUCUGAGAGGAUGAUCAGCCACACUGGAACUGAGACACGGUCCAGACUCCUACGGGAGGCAGCAGUGGGGAAUAUUGCACAAUGGGCGCAAGCCUGAUGCAGCCAUGCCGCGUGUGUGGAGAAGGCCUUCGGGUUGUAAAGCACUUUCAGUCGUGAGGAAGGCGGUGUCGUUAAUAGCGGCAUCGUUUGACGUUAGCGACAGAAGAAGCACCGGCUAACUCCGUGCCAGCAGCCGCGGUAAUACGGAGGGUGCGAGCGUUAAUCGGAAUUACUGGGCGUAAAGCGCAUGCAGGUGGUUAGUUAGGUCAGAUGUGAAAGCCCGGGGCUCAACCUCGGAACUGCAUUUGAAACUGGCUGACUAGAGUACUGUAGAGGGGGGUAGAAUGUCAGGUGUAGCGGUGAAAUGCGUAGAGAU
rnacentral:rRNA from 1 species